ensembl:lncRNA
CUAGGUUACUGAUUAGUAAGCAACUCCCUUCACCUGGUUGUCUAGGUAACUAAUUAGUAAGGAACUCCCCUCACCUGGUUGUCUAGGUUACUAAUUAGUAAGCAACUACCUUCACCUGGUUGUCUGGGUAACUAAUUAGUAAGGAACUCCCCUCACCUGGUUGUCUAGGUUACUAAUUAGUAAGGAACUGCCCUCACCUGGUUGUCUAGGCUACUAAUUAGUAAGGAACUGCCCUCACCUGGUUGUCUAGGCUACUAAUUAGUAAGGACCUGCCCUCACCUGGUUGUCUAGGCUACUAAUUAGUAAGGAACUGCCCUCACCUGGUUGUCUAGGCUACUAAUUAGUAAGGAACUGCCCUCACCUGGUUGUCUAGGCUACUAAUUAGUAAGGAACUGCCCUCACCUGGUUGUCUAGGCUACUAAUAGUAAGGAACUGCCCUCACCUGGUUGUCUAGGCUACUAAUUAGUAAGGAACUGCCCUCACCUGGUUGUCUAGGUUACUAAUUAGUAAGGAACUGCCCUCACCUGGUUGUCUAGGCUACUAAUUAGUAAGGAACUCCCCUCACCUGGUUGUCUAGGCUACUAAUUAGUAAAGAACUGCCAUCACCUGGUUGUCAAGGCUACUAAUUAGUAAGGAACUGCCCUCACCUGGUUGUCUAACUCUUUGAGAGGAAACACCAGACCUGACAUUAGACAGUCAUUCAUAAGGGAGGGAGGGAGAAACAUUUUAAGACUGUUGGGACUAGCUUUUAGCUAGUGAGUCAUGACGUCAUGAUACCCUCAGUGUUAGAGACAGCAUCUAUUGAGAGAACCCUGCUGAAAACUAGUGAGUCAUGACACCCUCAGUGUUAGAGACAGCAUCUAUUGAGAGAACCCUGCUGAAGACUAGUGAGUCAUGACACCCUCAGUGUUAGAGACAGCAUCUAUUGAGAGAACCCUGCUGAAGACUAGUGAGUCAUGACAUCAUGAUGCCCUCAGUGUUAGACAACAUCUAUUGAGAGAACCCUGCUGAAGACUAGUGAGUCAUGACAUCAUGUUUCCCUCAGUGUUAGACAGCAUCUAUUGAGAGAACCCUGCUGAAGACUAGUGAGUCAUGACGUCAUGAUGCCCUCAGUGUUAGAGACAGCAUCUAUUGAGAGAACCCUGCUGAAGACUAGUGAGUCAUGACAUCAUGAUGCCCUCAGUGUUAGACAACAUCUAUUGAGAGAACCCUGCUGAAGACUAGUGAGUCAUGACAUCAUGAUGCCCUCAGUGUUAGAGACAGCAUCUAUUGAGAGAACCCUGCUGAAGACUAGUGAGUCAUGACAUCAUGAUGCCCUCAGUGUUAGAGACAGCAUCUAUUGAGAGAACCCUGCUGAAGACUAGUGAGUCAUGACAUCAUGAUGCCCUCAGUGUUAGACAGCAUCUAUUGAGAGAACCCUGCUGAAGACUAGUGAGUCAUGACAUCAUGAUGCCCUCAGUGUUAGAGACAGCAUCUAUUGAGAGAACCCUGCUGAAGACUAGUGAGUCAUGACAUCAUGAUGCCCUCAGUGUUAGAGACAGCAUCUAUUGAGAGAACCCUGCUGAAGACUAGUGAGUCAUGACAUCAUGAUGCCCUCAGUGUUAGACAGCAUCUAUUGAGAGAACCCUGCUGAAGACUAGUGAGUCAUGACGUCAUGAUGCCCUCAGUGUUAGACAGCAUCUAUUGAGAGAACCCUGCUGAAGACUAGUGAGUCAUGACGUCAUGAUGCCCUCAGUGUUAGAGACAGCAUCUAUUGAGAGAACCCUGCUGAAGACUAGUGAGUCAUGACAUCAUGAUGCCCUCAGUGUUCGAGACAGCAUCUAUUGAGAGAACCCUGCUGAAGACUUGAACUCAGGCUAAGAUGCUAUUUAUGAAACGAAAUGUCGUGUAUAUAGAAAUGCAUUCCUCAAUGGUGUUAUUAUUGUUAAAGCUUUAUUUAACUUGGCAAGUCAGUUAAGAACAAAUUCUUAUUUACAAAGACGGCCUACAGGGGCAGAACGACUGAUUUUAACCUUGUUCAGCUCGGGGAUUCGAUCCAUCAACUUGCCCAUCUCUCUAACCACUAGGCUACCUGCCUCCCAAGCAGUAUGGUUGAUUCACUAUCAGGUUUUCAUUCUGAGUGUUAAAUUUAUUGAAUUGAUCUGAUGAGUAUUGUAGAUGUGUGGAAACAGGAGAGGCAGGGCUGUGGUCAGAGGAUGUUGCUGACAGACAGAAGGUUUUAGAUGUGGGGAAACAGGAGAGGCAGGGCUGUGGUCAGGAUGUUGCUGACAGACAGAAGGUUGUAGACGUGUGGAAACAGGAGAGGCAGGGCUGUGGUCAGAGGAUGUUGCUGACAGACAGAAGGUUGUAGAUGUGUGGAAACAGGAGAGGCAGGGCUGUGGUCAGAGGAUGUUGCUGACAGGCAGAAGGUUGUAGAUGUGUGGAAACAGGAGAGGCAGGGCUGUGGUCAGAGGAUGUUGCUGACAGGCAGAAGGCUGUAGAUGUGUGGAAACAGGAGAGGCAGGGCUGUGGUCAGAGGAUGUUGCUGACAGACAGAAGGUUGUAGACGUGUGGAAACAGGAGAGGCAGGGCUGUGGUCAGAGGAUGUUGCUGACAGAC